UACGGAGGGUGCAAGCGUUAUCCGGAUUCACUGGGUUUAAAGGGUGCGUAGGUGGGUUGGUAAGUCCGUGGUGAAAUCCCCAAGCUUAACUUGGGAACUGCCGUGGAUACUAUCAAUCUUGAAUAUCGUGGAGGUAAGCGGAAUAUGUCAUGUAGCGGUGAAAUGCCUAGAUAUGACAUAGAACACCGAUAGCGGAGGCAGCUUGCUACACGAUCAUUGACACUGAGGCACGAAAGCGUGGGGAGCAAACAGG
rnacentral:rRNA from 1 species